rnacentral:rRNA from 1 species
CCCUUAGAGUUUGAUCCUGGCUCAGAACGAACGCUGGCGGCAUGCCUAACACAUGCAAGUCGAACGCCCUGGUUCGCCAGGGAGUGGCGCACGGGUGAGUAACGCGUGGGAACCUGCCCGGCAGUACGGGACAACCGCGGGAAACUGCGGCUGAUACCGUAUACGGCCUGAGGGCGAAAGAAUUUCGCUGUCGGAGGGGCCCGCGUCGGAUUAGGUAGUUGGUGGGGUAACGGCCUACCAAGCCUGCGAUCCGUAGCUGGUCUGAGAGGAUGAUCAGCCACACUGGGACUGAGACACGGCCCAGACUCCUACGGGAGGCAGCAGUGGGGAAUAUUGGACAAUGGGCGCAAGCCUGAUCCAGCAAUGCCGCGUGAGUGAUGAAGGCCUUAGGGUUGUAAAGCUCUUUCGCCCGCGACGAUGAUGACGGUAGCGGGAGAAGAAGCCCCGGCUAACUCCGUGCCAGCAGCCGCGGUAAUACGGAGGGG